rnacentral:tRNA from 1 species
UUUAAAUAGUUUAUAUAAAAUAUUGAUUUGUGGGGUCAGGGAUACACAGUUGUGUUUUAAAUAA